GAUGAACGCUGGCGGCGUGCCUAAUACAUGCAAGUCGAACGAACAGAUGAGGAGCUUGCUCCUCUGACGUUAGCGGCGGACGGGUGAGUAACACGUGUAUACCCUACCUAUAAGACUGGGAUAACUUCGGGAAACCGGAGCUAAUACCGGAUAAUAUAUUGAACCGCAUGGUUCAAUAGUGAAAGACGGUUUUGCUGUCACUUAUAGAUGGAUCCGCGCCGCAUUGGCUAGUUGGUAAGGUAACGGCUUACCACGGCGACGAUGCGUAGCCGACCUGAGAGGGUGAUCGGCCACACUGGAACUGAGACACGGUCCAGACUCCUACGGGAGGCAGCAGUAGGGAAUCUUACGCAAUGGGCGAAAGCCUGACGGAGCAACGCCGCGUGAGUGAUGAAGGUCUUCGGAUCGUAAAACUCUGUUAUUAGGGAAGAACAAAUGUGUAAGUAACUAUGCACGUCUUGACGGUACCUAAUAAGAAAGCCACGGCUAACUACGUG
rnacentral:rRNA from 1 species